AGAGUUUGAUCCUGGCUCAGGAUGAACGCUGGCGGCGUGCCUAACACAUGCAAGUCGAGCGGUAUACAUUGGAAUGAAACUUCGGUCGAGUGAAGAUGUAGAGAGCGGCGGACGGGUGAGUAACGCGUAGGCAACUGCCCCAUACAGAGGGAUAGCCUCGGGAAACCGGGAUUAAAACCUCAUAAAGCGCGGGGUUCACAUGAACCCUUCGCCAAAGAUUUAUCGGUAUGGGAUGGGCCUGCGUCUGAUUAGCUAGUUGGUGGGGUAACGGCCUACCAAGGCGACGAUCAGUAGCCGACCUGAGAGGGUAUUCGGCCACAUUGGAACUGAGACACGGUCCAAACUCCUACGGGAGGCAGCAGUGGGGAAUAUUGCACAAUGGGCGAAAGCCUGAUGCAGCAACGCCGCGUGAGCGAUGAAGGCCUUUGGGUCGUAAAGCUCUGUCCUUGGGGAAGAAGAAAAUGACGGUACCCUUGGAGGAAGCCCCGGCUAACUACGUGCCAGCAGCCGCGGUAAUACGUAGGGGGCAAGCGUUAUCCGGAAUUAUUGGGCGUAAAGAGUGCGUAGGUGGUCUUGUAAGCGCGGGGUGAAAGGCAAUAGCUUAACUAUUGUAAGCCCUGCGAACUGUGAGACUUGAGUGCAGGAGAGGAAAGCGGAAUUCCUAGUGUAGCGGUGAAAUGCGUAGAUAUUAGGAGGAACACCAGUGGCGAAGGCGGCUUUCUGGACUGUAACUGACACUGAGGCACGAAAGCGUGGGGAGCAAACAGGAUUAGAUACCCUGGUAGUCCACGCCGUAAACGAUGAGCACUAGGUGUCGGGGCCGCAAGGCUUCGGUGCCGCAGUUAACGCAUUAAGUGCUCCGCCUGGGGAGUACGCACGCAAGUGUGAAACUCAAAGGAAUUGACGG
rnacentral:rRNA from 1 species